ensembl:lncRNA
AACAUCAGGAGCAACAUGUGGGACAUGUGGACGUGUGUCAGUACGACAUUCAUAAGUCAUGAUUGUUAAUAUAACAUCCAUAACAAGGAGAGAGAGGAGGACGUCACUACCUGGUGGUGCAGGUGGUGUAAUGUUUCCCUCCCCCGGUGGGCCUCCUUUGGUUUAGUGGAAUAUGAUAUGAAACACAGACACAAGAAAAGGAGGUGAAAUAAAUCAGUGUUUACUACCUGAGGAGACUGAAUGAGGAAUAAAAUGAUGUCGUCUUAAAACAAACGUACCUGUUUGUUCACAUGAGAACUGACUGCAGGCUUCAAACAGCAGAGUUUUUCCGCUCUGAUUGUCUCUCACUUCACAUCUCAGUGACUUAUAAUACUUUGACUUCUGAUGAAGAGGAGCUUUAAACGUCACAGUGGCUUCACAAGCAGCGUGUGACAUCAUCACAUCAGUCUGUUUGCCGUCAUAAAGCCACUCUACUGUGUGUUCACACUCAGAGAAUCUCAACACAAAGCAGGAAAACACAACCAGACCCCCGUAGUCCUUUUCCUCCACUGGUGAAGAUGUUCACAAUGUGAGAAAGACAACAAGAGUAACAUUAACUUCUUCAUAAUUUAAAUGAUAAUAAUGUUUCAGUGUGUGGAAAGUUUGAGCUGAAAUGAUUUAAUGUAAAUACUCACUUGUAAACAUGGACAGAGAGACCACACCAUCUGGACCUUGUUGUUUUCCUGCUUCAUUAAAAUCUCUGUUGGUGUAACGACCAACAUCUUCACCUGAGACGCUUCUUAUAACCAGAGAACAGUUUGCUGUCAAACUCAGUUUGUUGCUUUUAGCUUCUGGAAUCAAAGCGUUAUUAUUAAUCUUCCCAAGUGUAACCAGCUCCACAGAUGAAUCAGUACGAUUGUAAAGCCAAGUAGAACCGUCACAUCUGUCCUGAUCCACAUGGUUAGAAGGCAAAGUGACGUCAUCUCCGGCUCUGACGAGGAAGCGGGGGUCAGGGGGGGUUUGUCCUCUUACUAUUGACACAUAUGAAAGAACUGAGGUAAGAAUACAGAUGUUUAGACUCCAGUCACACGUGAUGAAGACAUCGAUUACAAACAGCAUCAAACGUCCUUUCACUAGAGUCCAGUGGACACUGGACAUGAAGGUGGCCGGUUGGACUCUCCUCACGUUGGUGGAACAGUUGCUGUGUGUUUGCUGUUCUUACCUGCAGCCUGAAGCAGCAGCAGCAUCACACAUAAAGUCCUUUGAGUCCCUCUGAGUUCCACCAUGGUGUCUCUGCUCCUCAAGGCGUCUGACCGAGUGCUUCUUCCUCACAGAUGCAGCUUCUGCUUCCUCUGGUUGCACAGCGUCACUUCCUCGUCGUGCUCAUAGAGACGACGUGUCGGAGCUCUGAGGAUGAGUUUCUU